AACGCACAUUGCGCCCGCUAGUAUUCUGGCGGGCAUGCCUGUUCGAGCGUCAUUUCAACCAUCAAGCGCCUGCGCUUGUGUUGGAGCCCUGCGGCUGCUGCAGGCUCCCAAACCCAGUGGCGGGCUCGUCGUCGUACCGAGUGCAGUAAACUUACCACGCUCAGGGCACGCGACGGGUGACCGGCCGUAAAACCCCCAACUUAUCAAGGUUGACCUCGGAUCAGGUAGGAAUACCCGCUGAACUUAA
rnacentral:misc_RNA from 1 species